GAUGUCAAAACACAAAGAUAAUUUGCAGUGCAGUGAACGCACCUUGAUGUUAUCGUUGUGAUAAGUUCACGUCGCUUUGCGGCGGAGGUCUGUUGUACCGAUAAGUGACGGUUUAAAUGUGAAGACAAACACAGUAACUGUAAACAGAGCUGAUGUGAUUUUCAGUCACUGUUUAUCUUUGAUAGUCUUUCCUGUUCAUUAUCUUCAUCUGUUGUUUAAUGUUGAAAAUCGACUGAAAAAGGAACCAUGUUCUAACCUUUAACCUUUCCGUGCAGAUUGAAGUCUCCCACUGAAUGAAAUGAACUGAGCAUUAUUUAAUCCUGGAAAAACUUCUGUGGCUUUAUUCCUCUGCACAUCUCCUCCUGCUACAAUGGCUCAGGUCCCUCUCAGCAUGAACCCAGUCCAGUUCAGCUGCUCCAUCUGUCUAGAGCUCCUCAAAGAUCCAGUCACCAUCCCGUGUGGCCACAGCUACUGCAUGAGCUGCCUGACAGAUUACUGGGACUGUCAGCCAAUCUGCAGCUGUCCACAGUGCAGGGCCACCUUCAGUCCCAGACCCACCCUGGGCAGGAACACGUUGCUGGCAGAGAUGCUGCAGAGCCUCGGUGCUGUGAAGCUGAGCGAGGGCCCCUCAGCUCCUCCUCUGUAUGAGGACCACGGCUUUGAGCACGCCACCUUCGAUGUGUCCUCAGUUCGUCCUGAGAGGACUGACGGAGAGAGGCUUUUGGGGGAAACACGGAGAUAUCUCGCUCAGCAAAUCGAAGAGAGUGAGUCAGAGCUUCAGCAGCUGAAACAAACUCUGCGCUCCUUCUCUCGUCUGGCCAAAGCAGCGGUGAAGGACAGCAGCAAGAUCUUCUCAGAGCUGCAGGAGUUUGUGGAGCGUCGUCGUGUUGAGAUGAAGGAGCUCAUCAGAGCUCAGGAGAAGGCUGAAGUGACUCGAGCUGAGAACCAGCUGCAGCGUCUGGAGCAGCAGAUCUCAGAGCUGAGGAGGAGAGACGCCGAGCUGGAGAAGCUGUCACACAGUCAGGACCAACACCGGAUCACACAGUCGAUGUGUCAGUCGUACUGCAGUCCAGUCUCUGCAGGAGCAGCCAGCUCUCUUGUGGUCAGUCCACAUGUUUCCUUUGGGCCUGUGAGAAAAGCCAUCUCAGACCUGAAGGAGCAGCUGCAGAGUCUGUAUCACAGAGAAUUCCCAAACAUCACCUCUGCAGUGAAAACUGUAAACAUCCUGCAGAUGGAAAAGGCCAACAAGGCUUUAGAGGCUGGUGAUUCUGCACACAUUCCCAGUCUGGACAGCAGAACUGAUCUCCUUCAGUACUUCUGUUCGCUGUCUUUGGACCCGUUCACAGCACACAGGGAGCUUUCCCUGACUGAGGGGAACCGCGUGGUCAGUCGAACCGGAGAACUUUAUUCUUACCCAGACCACCCUGACAGGUUUGACUCCUGGACCCAGGUGCUAUGCCGUGAGGGACUACAGGGUCGCAGCUACUGGGAGGUUAAGUGGGACGGACAACAGGUGGUGCUGGGGCUCACCUAUGAGAGCAUCGGAAGAAAGGGAUCAUCCAAUGACUGCAGGCUGGGACACAACUCCCUCUCUUGGGGUCUUCGCUGCAGCUCAUCCUCCUUCGCCUUCUGCCAUGGAAAUGAGGCACAGGAGGUGGUGGUUCCCCCCAGCACUGUGUUCCGCAGGAUCGGGGUGUUCCUGGACCAUGGCACAGGACUCCUCUGCUUCUACACAGUAACACCAACAGGAGUCCACCUCCUGCACAGGGUGAAGACCAACUUCGACCAGCCUCUCUACCCUGCGAUGUGGCUCGGAGCUAGCUCUACCAUCACCCUCUGCACCGUGGACUGAUGGAGCAUCAAGACAUCUAGACGCUGCUCGGUCUACUUGUUCAGCUGCUGCAGCUUGGACAGAUACACCAACAUCACCUUACGGACUAACGGGUGUCACCACUUGAUUUCUCGACAUCGUCCACGAUGGCAGAGACAUGGUCCAUGAUCGGAGAGACACUGUUGAGGAUGAGGGAGACAUUGUCCAUGAUCAGGGACAUUGUCCAUGAUCCCAGAGACCUUGUCAAAGAUGAGAGAGGCGUUGUCCAUGAUCAGAGACAUUGUCCCAUGCUUCGUAGAGACCUUGCGAUAGAAUCGGCGGAGACGGGGGUCACCGAUUUGACGGCACUGCCCGCGAUCAUGAACAUUGUUAAUGAUCACAGAGACACCGUCGAUGAUCUCAGAGACAUCGUCCACGAUCACAAAGACAUAGUCCAUGAUUGCAGAGACAUUGUCCAUAAUCUCAGAGACAUUGUCCGCGAUCACAGAGACGUAGUCCACGAUCGCAGAGGUGUAGUCCAUAAUCACAGAGUCUUCGUACAAUGAAGAAGUUCUUUGAGACAAGGACAGAGGCCUCCAGGUAAUUCACAAACAGCUUUACAUCAACUGUCCAACACAGAGCACUGACAUUAAACUUUUUGUCAAAAAAUAGACUUAAUCCAUUAGUGAAGUAUAUUUACACAGUUCAUGCCAGAACAGUUCAAAGUCUUUCAGUUAUAGAAAUAUAAUUAUGAAAGAAAGAAACGCUUGAAAUGUCUCUCAAAUGUCAGAGCUAAACAAAAACCAUGUAACAGAAGUACUAACAUCAAAAAAGUGUAGUAAUAGAAGUAAUCUGCAACAUAAAAAUAAUGUAAGGAAUGUAUUAGAAAUCUGUAUUAAUAGAAGUAAGGCAAUUUAGAAGUAAUUAGUAAUAUCAGAAGAAAGAUGAAAUAGUUAUCUGUAUUAUAAAAAGUUUGCAGUAAUUGAAUGGAGUUUGCAUCACUAAAAGUUAUUUAUAAAUUUAGAAAUAAUAUGUGAAAUGAAAGUAAUGGUUAAAGUAAUCUAAUAUCCAAGGUAAUACUGAAAGUAAUCAGUAAUCUAAAAGUGAUGCAGAAGUAAGUGUAAUCUAAUAUAAAGGUGAAAAUGUCACAGUAUAAUAAGGCGUCCAAAAAAAAAAAGGCAUAACAUAGUAAAAUAUCAUGAAUGUAAAAACAAUGUCAUAGUGAAACAUCAAAAAACGCUAUAGUAUAGUAAGGUGUCACCAAAUGCCUCAGUAUAGUAAGGUGUCAAAAACCAUCAAAAAAUGUCAUAUGUCAAUGUCAUAUAUAGUGGUGGAAAAAAUACUCAGACUUUUUACUAAAGAAUAGUAACACAAGUUUAAAUCCUGCAUUCAAAAAUGUACUUAACUGAUAGUGUUGAUUAUUGUUGUGCAGUUCACAGUAACAUACAUGAUUGUUUCAGUGAUUAGUUGAUAGACACUAAAUUAAUAAUAAUUUUACUUUUUCCAAAUAUUUGUCAUUGUUGGUUCUUCAGGAGGUGAUGACAGUCAACUGUUCAUUUUCUGAAACAGCUCUCUAAUGUUUCUUAAAUGUUCUGGUUCAGCUGUAAUGUUGAAUAUUUAUCUGUGUUUUCAUUGUUAAACUGACGAUGAGGAAUAGGUAGUAGUGUAUUGAUCACUGUCCUUUGUAUGUUUCUCUUUGCCUUCCACCAGGUGUCACCACUUGAUUUCUCGACAUCGUCCACGAUGGCAGAGACAUGGUCCAUGAUCGGAGAGACACUGUUGAGGAUGAGGGAGACAUUGUCCACGAUCAGGGACAUUGUCCAUGAUCACAGAGACCUUGUCAAAGAUGUGAGAGAGACGUUGUCCAUGAUCAGAGACACUGUCCCAUGCUUCGUAGAGACCUUGCGAUAGAAUCGGCGGAGACGGGGGUCACCGAUUUGACGGCACUGCCCGCGAUCAUGGACAUUGUUAAUGAUCACAGAGACACCGUCGAUGAUCUCAGAGACAUCGUCCACGAUCACAAAGACAUAGUCCAUGAUUGCAGAGACAUUGUCCAUAAUCUCAGAGACAUUGUCCGCGAUCACAGAGACGUAGUCCACGAUCACAGAGGUGUAGUCUACAAUCACAGAGUCUUCGUACAAUGAAGAAGUUCUUUGAGACUAGGACAGAGGCCUCCAGGUGUCACCACUUGAUUUCUCGACAUCGUCCACGAUGGCAGAGACAUGGUCCAUGAUCGGAGAGACACUGUUGAGGAUGAGGGAGACAUUGUCCACGAUCAGGGACAUUGUCCAUGAUCACAGAGACCUUGUCAAAGAUGAGAGAGACGUUGUCCAUGAUCAGAGACACUGUCCCAUGCUUCGUAGAGACCUUGCGAUAGAAUCGGCGGAGACGGGGGUCACCGAUUUGACGGCACUGCCCGCGAUCAUGGACAUUGUUAAUGAUCACAGAGACACCGUCGAUGAUCUCAGAGACAUCGUCCACGAUCACAAAGACAUAGUCCAUGAUUGCAGAGACAUUGUCCAUAAUCUCAGAGACAUUGUCCGCGAUCACAGAGACGUAGUCCACGAUCGCAGAGGUGUAGUCCAUAAUCACAGAGUCUUCGUACAAUGAAGAAGUUCUUUGAGACAAGGACAGAGGCCUCCAGGAGGAGGAGGAAAAGACUGCAUCACCUGAAGAGGACAACAAGAUAUCUUCCACCUAUCCUCAUGUGUGCUUAACACUACACUGAAUGUGGACUGAGAGAAUAAAACAAAGUGUUUCCAAGUGGUCAAACAUCUGUCAUUAUGUUUCCUGUGGUUUGUAAAUGAAAAUGUUGUCUAGAACAGAAUCAGUUGCAGCUUAACAUUUGAGUUGAGUUUCUUUAUUUUCAAAUUAAUGUCACUCAGCUUGCAAUGAAAAUGUAUGAUUGAGACUAAAAACUUUACCUAAUAUCUGGAUACCAGUGACUUCCGCCUACAAGCUGCAACCCUAACCUCUGGCCUUUAGCUAAAAGCCAUAACCCUAACCUCCAGCUGUCAUAAUAUAAUAAAGCAUCAAAAACUAUAAAAAAAAAAAUGUCAUAGUAUAAUAUGGUGUCCAAAACCAUCAAAAAUUGUGAUAGUAUAGUAAGGCAUGAAAAAUGGUCAGCUGAGAUAAUGACAGUCAGAC